rnacentral:rRNA from 1 species
GACGAACGCUGGCGGCGUGCUUAACACAUGCAAGUCGAACGGAAAGGCCCUGCUUUUGUGGGGUGCUCGAGUGGCGAACGGGUGAGUAACACGUGAGUAACCUGCCCUUGACUUUGGGAUAACUUCAGGAAACUGGGGCUAAUACCGGAUAGGAGCUCCUGCUGCAUGGUGGGGGUUGGAAAGUUUCGGCGGUUGGGGAUGGACUCGCGGCUUAUCAGCUUGUUGGUGGGGUAGUGGCUUACCAAGGCUUUGACGGGUAGCCGGCCUGAGAGGGUGACCGGCCACAUUGGGACUGAGAUACGGCCCAGACUCCUACGGGAGGAAGCAGUGGGGAAUAUUGCACAAUGGGCGGAAGCCUGAUGCAGCAACGCCGCGUGCGGGAUGACGGCCUUCGGGUUGUAAACCGCUUUCGCCUGUGACGAAGCGUGAGUGAAGGUAAUGGGUAAAGAAGCACCGGCUAACUACGUG